CGCCAGGCCCAGCCGCCAUUGUCGCCGCGGCUACCCGUUUCAGUUUCCCCGCUUCGAGUUCCCCGCUUCCCCUCCUGGGCUUCCGUACUGUCCGUACAGCCAGAACCGCGGCCAGGUGACCAUCGGCGUUUUCCUUGUUGCAGAUGCAGCCUUAUACACAUAACUUCAUCCUGGCCUCAUCAGUGAAAACCUGAGCUUCUCCUGUCAGUGGCAUCGUGAGGGAGAAAAAAAGAAGAAAGCGUUUCUUGGACUGACUUGCAUCUUGGUUAAUGGCCAGUCAGAACUUCAGACGAGACACACAGAAAGAGACACAACUGCAGAGAUUUUUCCCGAUCGGAUUGUGAAAGAACAUUUGCAGCAGCCCUGAUUCCACAAUUUCUCUCAUUUGCACCCUCUCUGAGCUUUUUGCACUUUGCAGAAUAAAAUCCAAAUGAAUGGUGA